GUUCGGUAAAAGGGAAGUUGUCAAGUGAAGAAUCUGAAAACGCAUCACACGGUAUAGCUGACUUAUGUAAACCCUGAAACCAAAUUUCAGAAAUUCUUGUAUUGUAGUUCCUGAGAAAAAUGCGACGAAAAAUAUUCAUGGGACGGACGGACUGACAGAAGGAUGGAUGGACAGACAGAGGUUAAACAGUAUACCCCCCUUUUUUAAAGCAGGGGUAAAAUUUUAAAGUGGGGAUAUAAAAAGCCUUACAAGAUGUCAUAAUUGUUUGUAUUACAAAAAGAAGUAACUUAAUUCUUACUUGUUAGGGGCUGGCAAAAAAGAUUUAUUUAAAGUUGGUUAUACAACAUAAGCUUUUAUCCGACAUACAUAUAUGACAAGCACAAUACAUGAAGCAUAAAGUUCAUCACUGAAUGACUGAGAUAGUAGUCUCAGAUAGAGGGAGACCAACCAAACUCCCCUAUUCAAUCUGAAUGUAGGACAGAAAGUCACAGGACAAAAAGUCACGGUCAAAAAGUCACACACUGUCACAGGACAAAAAGUCACAAUUCAGUUUCGAGAUUAUUUUUCUUUGAACAAGAAAACACUUUUUUUUGUAUUUUUCUUGAAGUUUUAUACAUGAACAUGAUGAAGCAACUUAGUAGUUAAAAUUUAUUAAAAUAAAUAAAUCGAUGCAUUAGGUUUGCACAAACGUAAAACAUUUUAAUCCCUAAAUGCGCGCAAAUGUGGUGCGCCCUAAUAAAUAUCAAUAAUGAUCUGAUCAAAUAAUUGUUAUGAAAACAAAACAUGCAAAAUGUCAAAUGUCAAAGUGGCUUGGUUUUCAAACAUGUCAUAUGACUUCAAUUUGCCAAUAAAUAUAUUCUUUGCACGAUUAAAAUCUAAUACAUUUUCAUUUAUCAAGGUUUAUGGUCAGGAGCCUGUAAUUCAGUGGUUGUCGUUUGUUUAUGUGUUUUAUUUGUGUUUUGUUCAUAUUUUUAUAUAAAUAAGGCCGUUAGUUUUCUCGUUUGAAUUGUUUUACAUUGUCAUAUCAAGGCCUUUUAUAGCUGACUAUGCGGUAUGGGCUUUGCUCAUUGUUGAAGGCCGUAAAGACCUAUAGUUGUUAAUGUCUGUGUCAUUUUGGUCUCUUGUGGACAGUUGUCUCAUUGGCAAUCAUACCAAUCUUUUCUAUAUCAUGUAUAUCACAUGUAUCAGCAAUUUCCUUAAAUUAAAAAUGAAUAUAUAUAUAUAUAAAAAGAAAAAAUGAACUUUUCCUAAUAUAUAAGAUCCAUAAUGAUUUAUAAAUCAAAAAAGAAAAAGAAAAUAUUUUAAAAUCUUUUUCAUAUAUAUUCAAACAAUUGUCAAUAAAUUGUUUGUGACUUUUUGUCCUAUCAAAUUUGUGACUUUAUGUCUGAGUUUAUAUGUCCUGUGACUUUUUGUCCUGUGACUUUCUGUCCGUUUACCUUCCAUCUAAAUCAGUGAGCUGAAUAAUUGUUUUUUGCAGUAGUCCGGUGAACGAGUCGAUAUCUGUUAAAAAAUCACAUGUGCAAAAUGAGAGUCAACACUUACACAAUACAUUUUCAGAAUAUCAGCUAAAAAAAAGAAUCACUGGUGAUAGGGGAGUGUAACCGAUGAAUUGAUCCUGAAUUAGAUAAGAUUUUCCCGGUACGUCUAAACACCGCUCAGGACCUCCUGAGUGCACACAGGGACACAUCUCCAUUAAUCCUUAGGUCGAGUGUACAUGGAUCCGCUGUACCCUUGCAGUCAAUCAAGGGGUGCGUCUAUACUGGCGGAAUCUCUAAGUACAUACAUACAGGACAUACAAUGUGCACUCAGGACCUUUAUAGUCAUCGUAUCUGCGCACAGGAUGGAUAUAUAUAUUCGUCAUACGCUUCUCAUUUUAGAGUUAAAUUUCCAAGUAACGGCCGGGGAACCUCUUAAGAUUUAAUAAUAAUGCUACUAAAAAUAUUUUAUUUCCCCCAUUUUUCGCUAUAAUUAUUAAGCUUUAGGCGAUUGUGCUUUUAGUCUGAGACUACUAUAACUACUGUGUCUCAGUUUUAGUGAAUAUAAAUAAUGACGAGGGCCUCACGAAUAAAUAUAAAUCUGAAAUACUGGAACAUCGAUUAGCAGAGCUCGAGCAGCAGAGUAAACUUACACAUAAAUCUCGAAGUUAUUUACGAUUAAUACAGACUGUGCUCCUGAAUAAAGUUGUUAAAUACAUUAAUUUGUGUUUUUUACUUCUACAAGAAAUUUGAAUCAAAUGCUAAUUACGCACCAUUUACUGAUCAGAGAAUCAUUCUAAGCCAGGAACAGUCUAUACUAACUGAUAACAGUAAGAAUAGAAUGUUUCGGUAAAAAGGCAGUCAAAUCAUAACAGAACUGUAACUAAAUGAUACAUGUACAUCAAGUUCCAGCGGGUCCGUAGAAAUACCGCAAAGCACCUCCUUAGUGCUCUAAGAAGAAAAAGUUUGCACUAAGAACCUGAUGGAAUGAUACAACUGUCACAAAGGACAUGACAUAUAGAAAUAGACUUUGUAAAUAUAUAAUUUCAAAUUUUAUGACCAUAUCUUUUGUAAUUAGAAAGUUAUUUUAUGUUUUUUUUAUCGACACGCGCCUAAAUCAGAUGAUUGUCACCUGUGUAAUCGAUAGAAAUUCAUGUUCGCUCAACCAUGACCGUUUAGAAUCCACUUUGUAUACUGAUUACACAUGUAAAAUUGAAGAUGCGAAACAUGCUAUAUUAGACUGUCCUUUAUAUGCAGAUUUACGUGAAAGUUUAUUUUAUGAAGUUAAAAGAAGUAAUGGUGAUUUUAGUAUUUUGUCUGAUGAUGAUAAGUUUAUAUAUCUUUUUAAAAGUACUGCUUUGGUGUGGUUGACAAGACCUGAUGUAAUAUUCUAAGUAGAAGCAUUAUUUUCUUAAUUUAUAUCUCAAAACUGGCUUCUUAAAAAAAGUUUACUUAGCAAUUUUCUUCAAAGCAAAAUAAAACAAAAGGCAAAGUAAACACAAAAUUCAUUUUUUUUAAUUUUCUUUCAUCAGCUUGAAAUUAAAACACCCUAAUCCGUUAUUUUUAUUCAACAAAUAUCAUUAACUAUAAUCAAUUAGUAACGAUCAGAAGACAAUAGUUAUUUGGAGAUGGUUGAUUGAACUUGAUGAUUGGGAAUUUGCAAUGAGCCGUUGGUCACGUGCCGAGUGGCACGCGCUGAUUGAAAAAGUAAUUUUACUUCAAAAUUAUAAUAUCUAUUGAUACCAAACUUUUUAUUUCUUAGUUAUAUACUCAUAUCCUCUUAUAUCCAUGUUCUUUGUGGUCUUAAAACAUAGUUUUAGUGUCCUUAAUGCAAAAACUUCUUUUUAGUGCACUAAGAAGUCCUUUGCGGCAUUUCUACACACCGAGUUCCAGCAACUCACCCAGCACCCUUGCCUUGCACACUGAGUUGGCAAACUGGUGUGUGUCAGUCUAAAAAAGAAGAUGUGGUAUGAUUGCCAAUGAGACAACUUCCACAAAGACCAAAAUGACACAGACAUUAACAACUAUAGGUCACCGUACGGCCUUCAACAAUGAGCAAAGCCCAUACCGCAUAGUCAGCUAUAAUAGGCCCCGAUAAGACAAUGUAAACAAUUCAAACGAGAAAACUAACGCCUUAUUUAUGUAAAAAAAAAUGAACGAAAAACAAAUAUGUAACACAUAAACAAACGACAACCACUGAAUUACAGGCUCCUGACUUGGGACAGGCACAUACAUAAAAUAAUGUGCGGGUUAAACAUGUUAGCGGGAUCCCAACCCUCCCCUAACACGGGACAGUGGUAUGUACAACAUAAGAACGAACUAUAAAAAUCAGUUGAAAAAGGCUUAACUCACAGUGGACAAAAUUCAAGUAACGUGGCCGGGUACUUAUACAUCCCGACACAAAAAGACGCAAUGAACAGAUUUUUUGUUUGUUUUAUCAGUUUGUUUGGAUAUUUUUUAGGAUCGUUGUAAAAUUAUAUCUAUUAGCUGAGACUACUGUAACACAUGUGUUAUAGCUGAGUCUUUUGCUAAAUACGAUUUUAAAUUGUUCAAUUCUUUCUAUUUCAUAAUUUUGUCAAAGUCUACUUUUUAAAGUUUUAAAUUUUAAAGAAAAAAUGAAUAUUCCAUUUUGAUUUGAGGAAAAUCUUUUUGAACUGUAAUGACAUGGUCAGUCUGAUUUGUUGCAAAGCUGAUUACAGGUAAUUAUAACAUACAGUAAUUUUCCAUUACGACAGUGCGUGUACCCUCGAGUGUGUAUAACGUAUAGUUUUCUGGAGAACAUCCUGUCUACGUGUAAUACAGAUUGAUGACAUUACACAGAAAUUCUUUUGUUAAAUGUGAUUAGGUAUCUGUGUCCAUUCCCUAUUUCUACACCACAAAUUUUUCGAAGAAAAAAAUCAAAAAAUCAUUUAUAUGAAAUUAAGAAGAAAAGUAGCAAAUAUAAACUUCAGUAACUGCGCAUUGAGUAAACAUAAUUUCAAUAUUGCCUGAACAAACCCGUUAGAAAACGUAUACAUGUAUGAAGAUGUGUUUAAAAAGACCAAUUCCCAUUGGCUUUAUUUCACACUAGGACCUAAGAUAACUAGAACUAAGCAAUGGUUGAUCCAGAAAUUUUCAUAUCAAGAUAAGGGAGGGGGGGCUGGAAAAAAUCAAAUCCGCCUCUGCUAAUUGGGAAGUCAUUUGGUCUGAUACACAUAUAUAUAUAUAUAUAAAUAUAGCUUGUAUGUACAUAAUUAAGAACAGCUUCAAAUAUAUGCAUAUGGGGGUACGUCUAAAACCCGUUCAGGAUCUCCUGGGUGUACGCAGGACAUUACAAGUCAGGCUAAGAUAUAAAAAAGAAGAUGUGGUAUGAUUGCCAAUGAGACAACUAUCCACAAAAGACCAAAAUGACACAGACAUUAACAUGUAUAGAUAAGUUUUAGUGAGCGUUCAGGGUAUACAUUCUGAAGGAUUUGUAUAGUAACUGGUUUAAUGAAGUCCUUCAUUGCUUCCACCCCUUGAUGAAAUUUAAAUGGCGAGACGUUAAUUAAUUAACUAUCUAUCUAUCGGCAUGCGUCGUUAUUUGGGAUACGUCACGGAUGACCGAUCUGAUCAUAUUCAAUAUACCAAUCAUCCUUUGAAUUUGGUCAAUUGAUCUUUAAUGAUUAGGACUGAUUGGUGAUGGCAGAGAAUAAGUCUCUGGUGAUGGUUAUAAACACAUAGAAGUAAACUUUGCAAAAAAAAAAAGUUUCCUUGGAAAAAAUUAUAAAAAUAUAUGAAUAUGUUAAAUAAUUUUUUCUUUCGUAUGUAAUAAUUGAAGACGUUUAGAAAUAACAAAAAUUUUCACUAAAUGGGAAAUUUUCAAUUCAAGUUAUUUCAUUUUGAAAACUUUGAGAAAUAUAGAUCUUAUUCGAUGUACAAUGUGAAUGUGGCCCGCUUGGAGAUCAACUUGUGAAACCCCGCUUAAUUAGGGGUUGUCUACUUUCGUCUUUUUAUAUUGCUAAACAUUCUAUAAUCAAGGAUUUGUACAAGGCCUUGUUAUAAUAUAAAUGAAUCUCGUCGCCAAUAUCACCAUAAUUACAUAAAGAACAAAUACAAUCUUCUCCUAAAUAGUUUUGCCAUCUAACAAUUCAAAAAGAAAUGUUGAGUCGAAACUGAGGUACCAAAUCUAUAAAAAGAAUCACAAUUUUUUUUUGUAGCAGUAGACGUCGAAAUUAAACUGUAUAUAUUCUUUUUUCAAAACUCCUGAAAUAAUUUAACAUUAUCUAUAGACAGCUUACAUAUGCAAAUCUUUUUUAGAAGUAUGUGAGCGUAAAUAAAAUUUGUUUAUUACCCCCCCCCCCUUUUUGCCUGUUUUAAAAUUUAAUUGUAAACGAUUUUGUUUCUUAAUUUGUGUUUGCUAAUUAACUGGGGUUCAUACUGUCAAAAGUCAAAAAUGUCUCCUUGUGUAUAAGUUAUUGAUAAAAAAAAUAUUUGAAGCCGCCAGAAGAAUAAAUCAUUUCCUGAACUAUAAAAUACAUUUAUCUGUAAUUAAAGAAAAUUCGCCUAAAACAUUCUCUUAUAUAUUUUAAACAAUUGUAAAAUAAUUAAUAAAUUCAACGACUUUCUGUCUGUUUACUAAUACUUUUCUUGUUCAGUUUUUGUUUAUACCCAUAAUAGAUGAAGAGCUCUUCAUCUAUUCGAAUAAUAAUUAUUGAUCACAAAUUUUCCGGAUGCAUUUUAUCCUAUUUUCGUAUCGGAACUUACAUGUUAGUAGUUGAACGGAAUUAAGUACUUUUUAAGGAAUUUACAACUCAAAUUUUCAACAACAAAUUUCUACACUUUUUACCUGGAUUUUUUUUCUCUGUUUCGAAGCCGCCACCGGUGACCCCGUAUCAAACAUAGCCAACACCUCAUAUGACGUAUUCACGAUGUUAAGGUAUUGACAAUAUACAAUCACAUUUAUCAAUAUACAGCAAGUAAGUAAUUUGGUGUUGAAUGCCAGUAGAUCAGAAUUUGUUAAUUGAACUUUACCUGUUUAAGGGGCACUAGCUGUCAAAUUCAUGUUCAUCAUCGAUUUUAAUAAAAUUCACAUAACGUGUAUAUAUAUAUAAGUGUUGAAAAUUACACAAAAGUUGACUAAUAUUAUAUAUAAAUUUUUUCAGCCAUGAGAAAGACUAAUCGCAUAAUACCAGAACCAGAGACAUAUAUAUUGUAUCUUAUGUCUCUGCCAGAACUAAAAAAUAAACCACCUUAAGUCCACAUAAGAGGGUAUGGAUGUGAAAUUAACAGCAGAGGCGGAUUUAGGGGGGGAGGGGGCCCGGGCCCCCCUUUUUUGAAAAAAAUUGGUUGCUUAUAUAGGGAAUCACUGAAGCGUGACUGAGCGGGCCCCCUCUUAGGCAGUCAGUGGGCCCCACUUAUGAAAAUUUCUGGAUCCGCCACUGAACAGAAUAGAGAAUAACGGACAAAGAAAAAAAAGCUUUAAGAGAAUAAUGGGAAAAAGUGUAAGUUAUUAAAAAUAUAGCAAAAAAAAGAAGACAGAAAAAUAUAGCUAAAAAAAGACAGAAAAAAGACCCCCCCCCCCCCCCCGAGACGAUCCUUACCCCUCAACUGUUAUUUGACGCUGCCGAGUUAGUUUGAGACAAAGACAGCCCGUAACCCUUUUGAAUCAAUUUGAGGAUUACCCAAGGUUAAUUUUACGGCAACUUAUUUUAUUUUGGGUUAAAGAUAAACAUAGUCAUAAUUGACAAGUUUCCUUCCCCUGCAUUCUCGAUCGCACAUGUAAAUAGCACGUUGGUCUCAAAUAAGACAUUGAUACAUUACAACACUUGCCGUCAGUAUAUGAAAAUAUUGAUUAAGAAGGUAUAGAAAAAUAAUGCACGCACACUAUUAUCCACCACAGGCCUAAAUCGUUAGUCCACAAACAACGAGGGUGAUAAAACCUAGCACUUUGAACACAGACACCGGCAUGUUGUGAAUUUGAAAGCUUCCCAAAUUAGUACUGUAACUAUCCAUUUCUACCCAUAGAAAACUUUUGCCCUUCAUUUAUCAGAUUUAAAAAUGAAAUAUGUUGAUUCAAACCAUUCCUAUUGUAAGUGAAAAAAAACUAAAUUUAUAUCAGGGUGAUUGAAAUGAGGAAAAAAAGGGGGGGUGUCAGUUCAGGGCCCCCUUUUUGGAAAAUAUAUACAAGCCCCUCUAAGGCAGUUGGUGGGCGUGGUCUUCAGUUGUAUUAUCUUAAAAGCUUUACACCUGUAAUAUUCUAAAGUGUAAAUCAAGGGAAAUUAAUGUAAAUUAUCUUUGCAUUGGGGUCUAUUAAAGGGUAUUUUUGGGGGAAGAAAGAAGGGAGGGUGAGUCCAUGGGAGGUAAUCCCAACCCCCUCAAUUUGAGAAUAUGCUAUUAUCUUGUAAACGGUCCAGAUCCCCACCCCUAAACCAUAUAUAUUCUUGAAUGGGACGAUAAAACAAAUCAAAUGAAAUGAAAGGGAGGUCCCUUGGGGUUACCCCACCCUGUUCAAUUUGAGAAUGUGCUAUUAUCUUGUAAACGAUCCAAGAUCCCCACCCCUAAACCAUAUAUAUUCUUGUAGGGGACAAUAAAAUUAAUGAAAUGAAAUAAAAGGGAAGUCCCUGGGGAUCACCCCACCCCUAUACCAUAUAUUCUUAUGUGGGACAAUAAAACUAAUCAAAUGUAAUUAAAGGGAAGUCCCUGGGGGUUACCCCACCCUGUUCAAUUUGAGAAUGUGCUAUUAUCUUGUGAAUGAUCCAGAUCCCCAUCCCUAAACCAUAUAUAUUCUUGUAGGGGACAAUAAAAUAAAUGAAAUAAAAUAAAAGGGAAGUCCCUAGGGGGUCACCCCACCCCCUCUAGUUUGAAAACUUGUAAACGGUCAAGAUCCCACCCCUAAACCAUAUAUAUAUAUUCUUGUAUGGAACAAAAAACACAUCAAAUGAAAUAUAGGGAGAGUCCAUGGGGGUCACCCCCACCCCCCUAUGUUUGAAAAACUUUUAAAUGGUUGAGAUCCCCAGUGGUUAGUUGAAAAAAUUUCCGGAUCCCUGAUCUCCACCCUUAAACCGUAUAUAUUCUUGUAUGAGACAAUAAAACAAAUCAAAUGAAUAUGGGAUCAUCCCCUUUGUCUUGGGUUGGGAACCCCCCUUUUUAAAAUGUCUGGAUCCGCCCGGCAUACCAUCUAGCUAGCUAUAAAGGCUUUAUAAAUAUGAAAUAAAUCAAACAAGGAAAUUAACAGUGCAGGCAACUGUUUUGAAUUUAAAAAAGCCUUUAAUAACAUGUUUUUUUGUGCAUUUAUUUUUUGCUUAUUUUCAAUAAUGGACAAAAUUGCAUGAUUGAAAAUUGUAUGAUAAGAAAAAUCUGCAUACACAUGAUACAUGUUAUAGAGACGAAACUGGGAAUUUGACAAAGAGAAAACAACCCAACCAAAGAGCAGACAACGGCCAAAGGUCACCUAUGGGUCUUCAAUGCAAUGAGAAAAUUUCGGCACUGGUCUUCAGCUCAUUAAUAUGUAUCCUAAAUGAGACUGAGAUACAGCUCUCAGUUGCAUUAAUAAAAACCUCACAAUAAGUUCUGAAUAUCAGAAUUAACAGUAUUGCAAGAUUCUCUCAAAAUGUACACAUAGAGCUGAGAAACUGUAAAACUAAUCAUGCUUAUUUAACAUUAAAGUCCUUGGAAUCAAUCUUAAUAUGCAUACUCUUGUACAAAGGAAUAUAAGUAUGCAAAAGACAUAUAUGGUCUUCAAAAAUAAGAGUAUCAAUGCUAUUAAUUUAUGACAAGAUCUUAAUCAAGUAAUAAUUUCGGUUUGUUUAAAUAUUUCGGAGGUUAUUAUGACCUCCUUUUUUGUGAUGAUGUUUUUGUUUUUAAGUUGGGAUAAUUGUUUGUACCAACAAAAAUAAAAACACAAAGUUAAUCUAGAAUUAUGUUUUUAUCAUUUUUUUAUGUUUAGGUUGUCAGCAAGAUGAAAAGGACAAAUAUUGCAGUUCAAAAUUCAAAAUGUGGAUAAGCUGAGGUUCUUGAAAGGUCCUACCUUUGCAGAUUUUCAUAUUUUGCAUGAAUGAAUUUAAAGUUUAUAUGAUGGAUGGCAGAGAAAGAAAAAAAAACUUUUCAAUUAUCCUGCUCCUGAAGGAUAAAUGUAAAACAUCUUGUUUUCGGUAAGUUUUAUGCUCUUGUUUUAAUAGUGUUAGUGCAUUCAUCUGUCCAGUCUUUCCUCUAAAUUGUAUCCUCUUUAAGUUUUUGGUGAGUGUUCACAAUGAAUUUCAGUAAGUAACUUGUGGAUUUACAUGUUUAUACUCAAAAUUUAGUACUAAUAUUAAUGGGAUUUUAGCAUGACAUCCUGGAAAAUGCUUGUUAAUCAUGUUUAUGUUCCAGAACAUAUGAGUAUUUGGACUGUACGCGUACAGUCUGCCCAAUUUUAAGAAGUUGGUCAAGUUUAUUAGAAACAAAUGUACAGUACAGAUCAACAUAACUGAAAUCUUUAAUAGAUUAAUACAAAAAGUUUAAUUGCAGUUGAAAUAAAAACACAUGUUUGGUUGAGCUGGUACUAGACACUUUUUUUUACAUAAAUAAGGCCGUUAGUUUUCUCGUUUGAAUUGUUUUACAUUGUCUUAUCGGGGCCUAUUAUAGCUGACUAUGCGGUAUGGGAUUUGCUCAUUGUUGAAGGCCGUACGGUGACCUAUAGUUGUUAAUGUCUGUGUCAUUUUGGUCUUUUGUGGAUAGUUGUCUCAUUGGCAAUCAUACCACAUCUUCUUUUUUAUACUACAAGUAUACUCAAAUGGUCUGACUGUAUGCAUAUGGUGGGACUGUAAGUGUAUACUUUUAUGUUCUGGACCGUAAACGUACGGUCCAAAUACUGAUAUGGUCUGGAACAUUUAUACAUGUCUUAAAAUUAAUAUCAAACACAUUGGUGUUUUUGAACUUGGUAAUAAGUUAUUCGAUAGAACUAUAAUGUUUUGAGAUUAUCAAAAUCAAAAAUAUCCCAUUUUUACUUUUAAUAAAGAAGAAGAUUAUUGAUGUAUGUAUAACUGUAUAUUAAAAUGAGACAGCAAGCCAACAACACAAAAAAAUAAGGAUAAAACAAUAUAAUUUUUUGUAUCAAUGUUAUAAUUUCCAAUAUGUCCAAAGGUAUUUUUUUCAUUGAAAUAAAACACAAAGUUGAAAUCUGUCAGAACUUCAAAAGCUUAAAGAAAUAUUGUUUCUGUUGUCUGCAUUUUGUAUAAUAUAUUGCAAAUUCUUGUGAAUAAUGGGAAUGUUAUUAUAAGUUGCCUAAAGUUUUAACAUUGAUCUUUAUAUAUAUAUAUAUAUAUAACUUGGGAAAAUACCCAAAUGUUAUAAAGAAGAAUAAAUUAAUUGAUUGUUAUAUAGUAUUAGAAUAGGAAGAUGUGGUAUAUUGCUAAUUUGACAACUCUCCAUCAGAGACCAAAGGAUGUAGGAGGUUAGCAACUGAUGACACUGGACAACCUUUAACAAUCAGUAAAAUCCAUACCGCAUAGCUAUUUUUAUUGAAAAUCAUAUUAUUGCUACAUGUAUGCAAACAAUUUUGUAUAAUACAUAAGAUUUUUCUUUUUCAGAAGGAUUGAAAUUCAUCACCUAGAAUAAAUGGAGAAAACAUAGAAACAAGACCAGAAUAAAUUCAAAG
rnacentral:lncRNA from 1 species